UACGUAGGGGGCAAGCGUUGUCCGGAUUUAUUGGGCGUAAAGAGCGUGUAGGCGGUUAUACAGGUCCGCUGUGAAAACUGGAGGCUUAACCUCCAGACGUCGGUGGAAACCGUAUGACUAGAGUCCGGAAGAGGAGAGUGGAAUUCCUGGUGUAGCGGUGAAAUGCGCAGAUAUCAGGAAGAACACCAAUGGCGAAGGCAGCUCUCUGGGACGGUACUGACGCUGAGACGCGAAAGCGUGGGGAGCGAACAGG
rnacentral:rRNA from 1 species